GACGAACGCUGGCGGCGUGCUUAACACAUGCAAGUCGAACGAAGUGGCGAACGGGUGAGUAACGCGUAAUCAACCUGCCCUUCAGAGGGGGACAACAGUUGGAAACGACUGCUAAUACCGCAUACUGAAGGAGGGGAUUGCGUCUGAUUCGCUAGUUGGAGGGGUAACGGCCCACCGAGGCGAUGAUCAGUAGCCGGGCUGGGAGGAUGAACGGGCAAAUUGGGACUGGGGAACGGCCCAGACUCCUUCUGGAGGCAGCAGUGGGGGAUCUUCCGCAAUGGGCGAAAGUCUGACGGAGCAAAGCCGGGGGGGUGAUGACGGCCUUCGGGUUGUAAAGCUCUGUUAAUCGGGACGCGGUACCGGAAUAGAAAGCCACGGCUAACUACGUGCCAGCAGCCGCGGUAAUAC
rnacentral:rRNA from 1 species